GUCAGGAUGGCCGAGUGGUUUAAGGCGCCAGACUCACGUUCUGGUCUCCAUAUGGAGGCGUGGGUUCAAAUCCAACUUCUGACA
rnacentral:tRNA from 1 species